ensembl:ncRNA F53B1.13 ncRNA
AAAUGCUAAGGAAGACCUUUCCCCCCCCCUCUGAUAAAUAAUCAUAACACAAUAUUCAUUUACACCGGAGAACAUUGGAAAAUAAAAUAGAAUGGAUGGUGAAAAGAAAAGACAAGUUGCCUUUGAGAAAUUACUUGUUGCUUUAGUCGAAAACCGGUGAAGCGAGACAAGUUAGGAGAAAGGCUGAAUGGCUAUUCGGAAUGGUUAUGAGCAGAAAAUCCAU